rnacentral:rRNA from 1 species
AACGAACGCUGGCGGCAUGCCUAACACAUGCAAGUCGAACGAGACCUUCGGGUCUAGUGGCGCUCGGGUGCGUACCGCGUGGGAACUUGCCCUUAAGUUAGGUAUCACUCCCCGAAAGGGGUCCUAAUGCCAGUUAAUGUCUUCCGACCAAAGAUUUAUCGCCUUUGGAUGGGGGCGGGUUAGAUUAGCUAGUUGGUAGGGUAAAAGCCUGCCAAGGCGACGAUGCAUGGCUGGUCUGAGAGGAGGCUCAGCAACGCUGGGACUGAGACACGGACCAGACUCCGACGCAAGGGAGGAGUGGGGAGUAUUGGACGAUGGGGGCAGACGUGGCCCAGCAGUGUGGGGGAAGUGAUGAAGGGGUUAGGGUUGUAAAGCCCCUUUACCCGGGGUGAUAAUGACGGUACCGGGAGAAUAAGCACCGGCUAACUCCGUG